UACGUAGGGGGCAAGCGUUGUCCGGAAUCAUUGGGCGUAAAGAGCGUGUAGGCGGCUCGGUAAGUCCGCUGUGAAAGUCCAGGGGCUCAACCCUGGAAUGCCGGUGGAAACUGUCGAGCUAGAGUCCGGAAGAGGCGAGUGGAAUUCCUGGUGUAGCGGUGAAAUGCGCAGAUAUCAGGAGGAACACCGAUGGCGAAGGCAGCUCGCUGGGACGGUACUGACGCUGAGACGCGAAAGCGUGGGGAGCAAACAGG
rnacentral:rRNA from 1 species